rnacentral:lncRNA from 1 species
GAGAAUAGGGCAGAUGAUGAUAUGGGUGAUGAAGAUGAUGACAUGGGGGAUGAUGGAGAGGAUGAUGAGGAUGAUGAUGAUGGGGAGGACGAGGAUGAGGAUAUAGCAGAAGAUGGUGCUGGUCUUAUGUCUCUGGCGGACACUGAUGUUGAGGAUCAUGAUGAUGGUGGUCUGGGAGAUGAUUAUAAUGAUGAGAUGGUUGAUGAAGAGGAUGAUGAUUUCCAUGAAAAUCGUGUCAUAGAGGUGAGGUGGAGGGAAGCGCUUCAUGGAUUAGAUCAUUUACAAGUACUUGGGCAGCCAGGGGCUGCAAGUGGACUAAUUGAAGUUGCUGCUGAACCCUUUGAGGGGGUGAAUGUGGAUGAUCUUUUAAGCUUUCGCAGGCCUUUAGGGUUUGAACGCCGCCGUCAGACAGGUAGAACAUCCUUUGAGCGAUCUGUUACAGAAAUAAAUGGUUUUCAGCAUCCUCUCCUCUUGAGACCAUCCCAGUCUGGAGAUCUGGUUUCAAUGUGGUCAUCAGGUACAAACUCGUCUAGGGAUUUAGAAGCAUUGUCUGCCGGAAACUUUGAUGUUGCUCAUUUCUACAUGUUUGAUGCUCCGGUUCUUCCUUAUGAUCAUAUGCCAACUAGUCUCUUUGGUGACCGUUUGGGUGGGGCUGCUCCCCCACCUUUGACUGAUUAUUCUAUAGGUAUGGACUCGUUUCAGAUGGUGGGAAGAAGGGGGCCAGGUGAUGGUCGGUGGACUGAUGAUGGGCAGCCACAAGGGAGUAGUCAGGCUACCAUUAUCGCACAAGCAGUAGAGGAGCAUUUCAUAUCUCAAUUACGCAGUAUUGCUCCAGCAAACACUCAUGCUGAAAGGCAAACCCAGAGUUCAGGACUUCAGCAUAAUCAACAAUUGGAUGCUCCCCUGUCUAAUGAUAGUCAACCGGCAGAAGGGGGUGAUAAUACUGGAAGUCAAAGAAGUGAAGGGCAGCAUGAAGAAAACAGUAAUGAAACUGCAAAUCAUCAAAUUAGUCAAACAGUUGAAACUGUUUCCUGUCAAGAACAUGUCGCCUUGGAGGCUGUUGAAGAAGCAGGCGAGUGCUUAG